rnacentral:rRNA from 1 species
CCGAGUUUACAACUCCCAAACCCAAUGUGAACGUUACCAAACUGUUGCCUCGGCGGGGUCACGCCCCGGGUGCGUCGCAGCCCCGGAACCAGGCGCCCGCCGGAGGAACCAACCAAACUCUUUCUGUAGUCCCCUCGCGGACGUAUUUCUUUACAGCUCUGAGCAAAAAUUCAAAAUGAAUCA